rnacentral:lncRNA from 1 species
CAAAAGUUAAGCUUGGGUUAGGAGGAACUGUGCUGAGAUUAACUUAGUGAUGCACCCUGCAAAACAUGUCCCAGCAGAACCUACCACCAGUGGGUGGUGGUGUCAGAGCAGGACAUGCUGCCAUGGUGGGACAGGAAAGGGUGACUGCGGCCAUCAACAGCCCAUGGGGGCCUGGGCUGGUGCCAGCUCUGCUCUGGGGUGGCACCUGACUCCCCAGGGGAGCCCGUUUUGGCUCCAAAUGCUGCUGCUGCUGCUGUGGCAGCUCCCUCCCACAGCUCUGGCUGCACUCUCAGUAGCUCAGAGCCAUUGUUCCUACCCCAGCACAUGGGUCAUUAGCUGUGGCUGGCUGUGUGACCCACCAGCACUGUGACCCAUGACGGCGGCUCUGCCAGGCACCACAUCAUUAAAAUAAAUGUGCAGGUGCCACACUUAGAGCUCGAGGGAGGCUCACGCCGGCCUCCUGCCCGCCCGUCUCCCGACUGAAUCAGGUUUGCACACUGCAAAGAAAGCAAAAAUGACUCAAGUGAGGGCUCUGUGGAUGCCUGGGGGGAAGUUGGCACUGCCUCCAUGGGCAGCAGGAGCAUGGCACCAUCAGUCCUGCUGCUCCUAUCAGUGGGGUCAUGCUCUUUGCUUCUCUUUAGAAAUGAAGCCCUGCCAGAGGGCAGAAUAUGUGGCUGCUUUGCAGAGCCCCAGGCAUGUGUAUCAAAAAGCCUCACUUAGGUCCAAAACAACACAACAGCUAAAAGAAUGCAACUAAAAGUCCUGUGCAUUUUGGAUCAUCUUUGUCAUCUUCUAAGCCAUUUGAGUCCUGUUUCCAGGUUUUACCCCAUAUGUGGAAGAAAGAAGUAGCCAAUUUAUUAGAUGAUGAUUUCCUUUCCUCACAGGGUUCUAGUAGGGCCUCCAAGCCACUAUGCCCCAGAUGCAGCAAGAACCUGGUCACCAGCAGCACCAAAAUGCAACUACUGAGGCAUGACAAGGCAAUCAGGGAAUGUCCUUGGCCAGACCACGGGGCCUCCUACUCUGGGCAGCAGCAGCCAGCCCUGGCUCCAGCAGCAGGCAGCAGCAGGGAGGACUCCUCGCUCCCUGGAGAAGAGGACACAGUCCUGAACAGAUUCCUGAAGCCUCCCGUGGUGCAAGCGACAGCCACCAGGCAUGUGUGACCAGCAGCAGGCUGCAAAAGCUCCCUUUGCUGGGUUUAUUUGCUGCUGCUUCUGCUUGCAUCCUCACACUGGGCUGAGCUCUCACCAGUGCCCAGGCAGCUGCACUAAUGCCUCCUUUUCAUCAUCAAUACUCCCAGCUCAACUCCUCAGGUACUCCCUAUGCUUUUCACAGCCCCACAGCCAUCCUGCCAUCACUGAUGUGCAGCCUCACAGGCUGCUGCAGACAUCCCCCAUUUUUGGCUCUAUAUUCUCUCUUUACAUUUUGUAAUAUUAAAAACAUGUAUCUGCAUAGAGCUAAGUUUGCUGUUCUACUCCGUGUCACUCCUGGAGGAUUCCUGCCUCCCCCUGUGUUCCCAGGCAGCCUGGACACAUUUCUGAGGCAGCCGAUGACAACACUGCCCUUCACUGCAGGGAAGGAAGGACAAGGACCUUGAAAUCUCAUUUCAGAAUAUUUCAUCAUGUGAAAAUAAAUGUCAUUUAAUACGACAUUCCAGAUUACUUAUCAAAUAAUGAUCUGCCUCUUAAUGCCUAGACUUCUGGAAUCCGUGCAAAUUAAAUGUUCUACUUGUAAAUGUAUUUAUUCAUUACACAUAGCAAUUAACGUAUGAUUUAAGCAAUUGAACUGUAAAUUAUCCCCUUGUUUAUAAAACAACAACAUCCUCUAAAGGAUAGUAUUUUCUAUUACAGCAAUUAGUAACACAUCAAUUCUUGACUAGCUCGCAAGAGAUCUCAUAUUAGCCCAUAUGAGGAUGAUUCUCCAGCAUGAUCUCCGGCACCAGGGCAUGCACACAGCUCUGAACCAGGCAAAGCAAAUGGAAAAUGCUCAGGAGUUUUCCAAAAAUCCCACCCCUCGCUAACACUUGUCAACUGCCAAAGCGCUAAUGGAGAGCUUUGGCUACACAUCAGCAAGUAGGAAAAGAAAAAUAAGAGAGAAACCACUCCAUUCUAGCACACUCCAUUCUAGCACACACCCUGCGCUGCUGUCAAAUUGUGCUAACUGAGGAUUUCAAGUCCCCUCCUCCCGCUGCCUGCCCUGGGCAGAAAAACA